CAUAGCCAAAGCAUUUAAACGUGACUUUAAAAUUUUUGAAACCAUCAGUGGUGAAAGCCACAAAGAUGGAUUGUCCUUUGUCAGUCUUGUUCGACAAAUUGACACUGGCAUAAAAUCUGGGUACAAGGAAACUGAAAUAAUUGAAGCAGUGAUACGUGCAGUGAGCCCUAGUUUAAAAUUGCGCUCAUACCUAGAAAUGAUGAGUGGGUUGUCCUUGUCCCAUUUGAAG